GACGAACGCUGGCGGCGUGCUUAACACAUGCAAGUCGAACGGAAAGGCCCUGCUUUUGUGGGGUGCUCGAGUGGCGAACGGGUGAGUAACACGUGAGUAACCUGCCCUUGACUUUGGGAUAACUUCAGGAAACUGGGGCUAAUACCGGAUAGGAGCUCCUGCUGCAUGGUGGGGGUUGGAAAGUUUCGGCGGUUGGGGAUGGACUCGCGGCUUAUCAGCUUGUUGGUGGGGUAGUGGCUUACCAAGGCUUUGACGGGUAGCCGGCCUGAGAGGGUGACCGGCCACACUGGAGGUGAGACACGGGGCAGACUGCUACGGGAGGCAACAGUAGGGAAGAUUACGCAAUGGGCGGAAGCAUGACGGAGCAGCGCCGCGUGAGUGAUGACGGGCUUCGGAUCGGAAAAAUGGGGUAUGAGGGAAGAAAAAAGGUGUACUUAACCAAGCACGGCGUGAAGGUACGGAAUCAGAAAGCAACGGCUAACUACGUG
rnacentral:rRNA from 1 species